GGUUCUAGCUGUUCUGUUUUUCACUCAUGGCUUCUGAAACUUGCUUCAUCAAAGAGCCUGGCAGACACCUGCAUCACCCAAAUGAAUGGAGAUGCCUUUGACUUCUUUGAAGUCUGCUUAGAAUUGUUAGACUCGGCAUCAGAAGAAAUGAGAAAGAACUUCUACAACUUUCUUCAUUUAAAACUUCUUUCAUCAAAGACUUGUAUCAUUGACAACAGUCAACCUUAAUGAAACAACAAGAGAAGCAAAACAAAAAUAUAAACAAAACAAAAAAGAACCAGA